GGGGAAUAUUGGGCAAUGGACGCAAGUCUGACCCAGCAACGCCGCGUGAAGGAAGAAGGCUUUCGGGAUGUAAACUUCUUUUAAGGGGGAAGAGUAGAAGACGGUACCCCUUGAAUAAGCGCCGGCUAACUACGUGCCAGCAGCCGCGGUAAUACGUAGGGCGCGAGCGUUGUCCGGAUUUAUUGGGCGUAAAGAGCUCGUAGGCGGUUUGUUGCGUCUGCUGUGAAAACGCGGGGCUUAACUUCGCGCGUGCAGUGGGUACGGGCAGGCUAGAGUGCGGUAGGGGAGAUUGGAAUUCCUGGUGUAGCGGUGGAAUGCGCAGAUAUCAGGAGGAACACCGAUGGCGAAGGCAGGUCUCUGGGCCGUUACUGACGCUGAGGAGCGAAAGCGUGGGGAGCGAACA
rnacentral:rRNA from 1 species